UACGAAGGGGGCUAGCGUUGCUCGGAAUCACUGGGCGUAAAGCGCACGUAGGCGGCUUGUUAAGUCAGGGGUGAAAUCCUGGAGCUCAACUCCAGAACUGCCUUUGAUACUGGCGAUCUUGAGUCCGGGAGAGGUGAGUGGAACUGCGAGUGUAGAGGUGAAAUUCGUAGAUAUUCGCAAGAACACCAGUGGCGAAGGUGGCUCACUGGCCCGGUACUGACGCUGAGGCACGAAAGCGUGGGGAGCAAACAGG
rnacentral:rRNA from 1 species